GAGAUGAUGUUUCCAUGGAUUUUGUAGUGAAGUUAAGUAUGCAGUAAAUGUUCUCAUGGAUUUUGCAGUUAAUAUUGCCAAAAAAGGGUCGAUUAAAGUUCUGCAUAUGACUUAUUUGAUCUGCAAAGUAUGUCAAUAGAGAUGAUUUUUGGUCUUCUCUAACCUGAAAUUCAAAAGGGUCAGUUGGAACCUCAUCUAAAAACUUCUUCAUCAGGUGUUAAAGCUCUCUAUCAUUACGUACAUGCAAAGGGCCUCAAGCUUGAGAUUCAUUUUGUUAGUUUAUAGCUCUUACCCCGGCUAAUAUUGUGCAAUAUUCAUGAAUAGAUUGUAGAGCUCUAGAUUCAAU